rnacentral:tRNA from 1 species
GCCCCUAAAGGAUAAAUGUUAAUCCAUUGGUCUUAGGAACCAAAAACUCUUGGUGCAACUCCAAGUAGUGGCU